UUGGGGUUGCUUUUCUAUUAUUUGGGUGGUCGUGAGAAAACCACAUAAAGGAUUGCGAGACAGUAGGUCUGCCUCGUACUGCGUUUUACCUUUUAUUUAUUUUAUAUCGUAUUCGUAUGCGGACAUCUUUAAGCUCCACCUAAAAAGUCUACCCGUUGGGUUUUUUAUGGUUUUUAACCAUUGUAAUGCAUGGUGGUCCGUAAAAAUUGUGAACCUUACACCUGCGAGAUAGAUGCGGAAUUUUUCCACACUAUCUAUCACAGCAAGGCAUUCCAACUCUGUGAUGGUAUAAUUUUUCUCGUGGGGUCGGAGUGCUCUGCUGUAAUAUUGCACGGGGUGUAGAGUGCCGUCUGGAUGUUGUUGUUUUAGGAUGCCAGCUAUUCCCUGAAGUGAGGCAUCACAGAAUAGUUGACAGGGUAACCCUUCUUUAAAGAGGUGUAGUACCGGUUUUGUGGUCAGGCAUUCCUUUAGAGUGUCAAAUGAAUGUUGGCAUUCUGCAUCCCAGUGCCAUGGGGUAUCUUUCUUAAGUAGAUUAUUGAGGGGGUUCCUAAUGCGGGCGUGAUCUUUUAGAAAUUUAUUAUAUACAUUGAUGGAGCCUAAGAAUGAUUGGAGGGAUUUAACACUAGUGGGGACCUUAAUGGCAUUAAUUACAUCUAAAUUUUUUACUAAUGGAGUGUAUGUGCCUGAUGAUAUGGUAUAGCCUAAAAAUUCUAUUGUAGUUUUAAAGAAGUUACACUUAUUAUAAUUUAAUCUAAAAUUUUCCCUAUUACACAUAUAAAAAAAUUGCUGUAAGUGAUCUAAAUGUUCUUCUAUGGAAUUUGAAAAGAUAAUGAAAUCGUCGAAAUAAUGUGCUAUAAAACCUAACCUAUUUCUUUGCAAUAUCUGACUGACUGCUCGCUCAUACACCUGGGGUCCUAUUUUAAUCCCGUAUGGUAAUCUUUUGAAAUUAUACUGACCCUCUAACGUGACAAAAGAUAAUAAAUUUCUAUCAGGGGGACUUAUUUCGAUGGACCAGUAUGCUGAUGAAAAAUCGGCGCGGGAGUAAAUUUUGGCGUUGGCUAAUUUAUCUAAGAUAUUCUCUAUGAGCGGAAGGGGGUGAACAUCGGGGAAAAAUAUUUCAUUCAGGCGGCGGUAGUCUACGCAAAAUCGUUUUGUCUUAUCCUUUUUGGUAACUAAAGUAACGGGAAAUGAAUAGGGGGGGAAAGAAGGCUCUAUAAUAUCAUAUUCUAGCAUUUUCCCUACUUGUUCUUGUAUUUCACGUUGAUCUGAAAGAGAUGUACGAUACGGUCUGAGUGCAAUUAUUUUGUCUGAAUUUGUCCUAAUAUUGAUAGGGGGAAUUUUCAAUUUUGGGAUGUUAUAUUUGUUAGUAGAAAAAAUAUUUGAGUAAUUCUUAAUAAUAUUCAUAAAAGUUAAAGGGAUAUCAGUCCUAACACAUAAAUUACAAGAAUCAUUAAAAAUUUUACAUUGAUGUUCAGAGGGAUAUAGUGGGGGUAAUAAAUAUAAAUGGGGAAAAUGAGCUAAAGUUUGGCUGGGUGCAUUUUUGUCACAAUUGGUAGAGGUCUUGUUCAAGGUAAUGGGACAUGGUAUAGGAUGGACAUUUUCCCCUUGCAACAAUGGAGAAUGUGAGUUAGGCAUGUUUUUUAGAUGACCCAUAUUGGGCGGAUUGUGGUUACUCUCUCCAUUAUUACAUGGGGUUACAUAGGUUAUAUGGUACCAUUUCUUAGACAAAGGAGCAUCACAUUGAUAAAUAGAAUGAUUAUAUAAAUUUAAGGUCAAACAAAAUUGACUAAUGGAAUUUAAUGAUAGUAUACCAAAAGGUAAUAAAUUAUCUACAGGAUGUACCAGGUAAAUUGGGAAUUUCAACAAUGGUAUUUUAACUGAAAUUUUUUGCAAGUAAAAAUUAAAAUAUCCGAAUGAAAUUUGACACAGUAGUAGAUAAAAGGAUAUAGUUUUUAUUUAUUCAAUGUAGUUUCCAUUAUUAGCUACAACAGUCUCGAGGCGAGUGCGGAAUGAAGCACAGGCCUUGGCGACGAUGACCUUGUCCAUUUGGGUCAUCACCGUGUGAACUGCUUUCUUUACAGACUGGAUGGUGGUAUGAGGAGCUUUGUUGACAUCUCUCUCAACAACGCCCCACACAUAGUAGUCGAGGGGAUUGCAAUCUGGAGAAUUAGGGGGCCAAAUAUCAGGACCCCAGUGACUAGGGACGUUAAGUGUCAGCCACGAUUGUGUCUUUUUUGCCUUAUGGGCUGGAGCUGAGUCCUGUUGGAAGACAUACUUCCUUCCUGCGGCCACCAUGUCCAUCCAAGGCUUCACAACGGUCUCCAGAACAUUGAUGUAGGUGUCAGCGUUCAUCCUAAGGCCCUUCUCAAAGAAAUGGGGAGGCAUGACAUCACCUUCACUGCUGAUAACGCCAAGGACCAUUACGGAGGCAGGAAAUUUCGUGUGCAUCACGACAGGUAUCUCUGAGGGGUCUUUACAGAUCCAGCGAUCAUUCCUGGGAUUUACCUUUUGGUCCACGUCAAAGUUCUUUUCGUCAGAGAAGAACCUUAGCAUGCCAAAAGAGUCGUGUUUCAGGUUGUUGAGGAGGGCAGCAGCCUUUCCUUUUCUGUUAUUCUUCAUAUUCUCAGUCAGCAACUGACCUUUCCGAAGGGCAUAAGACUUGAGACCAAGGUCCUCAUGGAUAGUUCUGACAAUUGUCAUAGAGCCAACGUCCAUUUCCUUGGCUAUGGCCCUCAUGCUCUUCCCAGGGUUUCCAUCAAUCUUCUCCUUGACAUUUUUGACAAAUUCUUCGCCUCUUACCCUGUCCGAUCGACGCGAGUGCUUUUUCCUUGUAGCUAUCCCCUCUUUGUUACUGUCGGCCUCAUCAAACUGCUUCUUGACACGAUAAAUAGUGGUUUUGGGCAACUUAAGAAAAUCCACUAUCUCUUUGGGGCUCCUUCCGGCGCGCAGAGCAACGAUGAUGGCAGCUCGAUUUUCAAAUUCUCGGUUACUCUUCAUCACUACACUGCGCACACAUGUACUGUUGCAUUUUACAUGAAUAUGGCUACGUAAUGAAAAAAAAAAAAAGUUUUUAAUCUCAAGUAGUUUUUGUUUUAUGGACUGUCAAAGUUAGUCCCAAUUUACCUGGUACACCCUGUAUUAUAUAAAAUUUAAUUGAUUUUGUAAUUUUUCCUAUGGUAGUGGUCAAAAAUGUAUAUCCUAUCGAAUUUAUUUGAGUAGAUAUGGAAUUGAUUAAUAUAUGACAUGGAUAUAAUUUUAAAGUAUUAGAUAAGUUUUUACUAAGAUGGUUAAAAAAAUAUUUAAAUUAAUUAUGUUAAUAGAGGCUCCUGUGUCUAAGAGGAAUGGGCAAUAAAAAUUAUUAAAAAUUUUAGGUUUACAUAGAAUAUUGGAUAGUUUAGGGGCGAAAAUUGGGGUUUUCGUUGCCUUGUGGGGUGCGAGAAGACCUGGGGGCCGGCACGGGAAGGUUGUGGGCGCCAUUUUGUUCCGGUGGGAAAUAAUGCGCCGUAGGUUGGCCGUGGUAGGCCUGCUGCCUGUAGGGUCGCCUGUUCAUGGAACAUUCACUGUUCCAGUGAUCACCUUGGCAGUAUUUACAUGGUGAGGGUGGUCUCCUGGCACCAGAAGGGUAUCUUGGAGUAUUGUUUGUUGAAAAAGGAUUGUAGUUCCUUCCCCUAGAAGGAGUUCCGGUAUCACGGUGAAAGGCACUGGUGUGGGUAACACCUUGAAAUGGUUCGGAUGGAGUAGGGAGUGAACUGGUCCCUUUUAUUCUAGUCAUGGUAGAGUACCAUUCGGUCAGGGUUUUAGGGGCUAUGGCCCUCAUGAGGCGCUGAUCACUGGCCUGGAGGCCUUCCGUUAAUGCCUCUACUAUGAUGGGAUUGGUUAGACCCAGUUGUAAUCCCAUAGUUAUUUUUUGACGGUAAUAUUCUCCUAAUUGGAUCUGAUUAGUUAAUUUAAAAGUUAAAAAUUUGGUGAAAGUGACCUCGGAUUUUCCGGGGUAGAGGUCUAUGAGAGUUUGUUUUGCUUGACUGUAUGGCAGAGAGGCCAGAUUUAGUUCGUUGUAGAGGGAGAGGGGCUCACCUUUGAGUAGUGUACGGAGCCGGGUUUGCAGUGUGGUGUCAUCUUGCGGUCCCUCGCUCGUCCGCUCGAGUUGCUGGAUGAAGUUGCUUGCUGCGUAGGAUCCGUCGAAAGGAGAGAUGAGGGCUUCCUCCACACGAGGCACGGCUAUUCCCCGAAUGGCGUCUGUUAGGCGGCUUACUAGGUCUUCGCAGUGGGGCUGCAUGUUGGUGAGGGCAUCCGCGAAGUAUUCGUCUCCAGCCUCCGUCAUCCUCUGCAUGUUGCUGUCCUCAGUCAUCCUGUCGACUUUAACGCGUUCUGUAGUAAUCCCGAUGUGGAAUGUACUGGGCAGUCGUGGUAGUGGGUGCGUGAUGGGAUUCCCGUACGGUGACAGCAAGGAACAGAGGCAGGUCUAGAUGGUAGCUCCAAGAAGUAGAGGUAGACCACGGACGAAGAUUGUCGCGGAUGCCCUAGCCGACCGUAUAACGGCGUCGCUCUGAAAACAACUGCCUUUGUCUCUUUUCUGGGCCUUUUAUAUUAUUGGACGCCCGCAUAUGUGGUGAUUCCUGAUUGGCUACUGUAAUCACGCCACUUUCUGGCGCCGGGUUGUUUUCGUCUGGUCUACCUCGUCCUCUUUGUUUUAUUUGUCACUUCCAUUGUUCGAUACAUAUUUUUAUAUAUAGAUAUGGGGUUAUAUAAUAAAUAUCAGAAGAAGGUUGUGAACUAUCUAACUCAAAAUAUACUACAUAUAUAUAUAUAUAUUAUUAAUAAUUUUAAAUUUUAAAAGGUUGGGUUGUUAGAGAGAACCUGGCAACAAUGGGUCUAAAAAUAUAGUUAAAUAGAUCUUUCUCUGAUAAAUACUAGACCCCAUUCAACUUGUGAAAUCAUAAUUUUAGAUUAUAAAGAAAUAGAAGAAAGUUCGGACCUCAGCCAUGGUGGUGCUUUUUAAAAUCCUUAACCAAUAUAAUAAUAAUUACUGGUAUUAAGAUGCACUUUUUUUUAAUAUCUAAGAUAAUGAUCGGGACAAAAAAAAUGCGAAGUCUGGCCGCUGGUGUUGCAAAAGCUCAAGAAAUUGAUCAUGGCGGCACCACAGCUGCAAGAUCUAGCGGCUGGUUUUAGAGACCGCGUGUUGCAAAAGCUCAAGAAAUUGAUCAGAGCGGCACCACAGCUGCAAGAUCUAGCCGCUGGUUUUAGAGACCGCGUGUUAAAAGCUCAAGAAAUUGAUCAGAGCGGCACCACAGCUGCAAGAUCUAGCCGCUGGUUUUAGAGACCGGGUGUUGCAAAAGCUCAAGAAAUUGAUCAUGGCGGCACCACCGCUGCAAGUUCUAGCCGCUGGUUUUAGAGACCGCGUGUUACAAAAGCUCAAGAAAUUGAACAGAGCGGCACCACAGCUGCGAGAUCUAGCCGCUGGUUUUAGAGACCGCGUGUUGCAAAAGCUCAAGAAAUUGAUCAGAGCGGCACCACAGCUGCAAGUUUUAGCCGCUGGCUUCAGAGACCGCGCGUUAAAAGCUCAAGAUAUUGACCAGAGUGGCACCACAGCUGUAAGAUCUAGCCGCUGGUUUUAGAGACCGCGUGUUGCAAAGCUCAAGAAAUUGAUCAUGGCGGCACUAUAGCUGCAAGAUCUAGCCGCUGGUUUCAGAGACCACUAGUUAAAGCUCAAGAUAUUGAUCAGAGCGGCACCACAGCUGCAAGAUGUAGCCGCUGGUUUCAGAGACCGCGCGUUACAAAGCUCAAGAUGUUGAUCGAUGCGGCACACUACGAUCUUGCCACCAGAGGCCACACGUUGCGGAAGUUCAAGCACAGCUCCAAGAUUACUUAUAACCCAGGUUCCUAGACCGCAGAAUGCCAACUACAUGUUGAGCUGGCGUUGGCCCAGCUUUAUUUGGGCAAGUACAAGUCACGUGCUAUUCCAUAUUAAUGUACGACCCCCAAAAAAAAUGUUGGUCAUAUUUAUUUUUUCAUAGUGAAAUAUUAAGCCUUUCAAAAUAGUGCUAUUUAAAAAAAUCAGAGUAAAAAAAUAACCUUCUAAGAAUCGAACCUUAAACCUUUUAUCUUGCGAGACAUUGCACCAUCCUCCUGCCCCGCCAGUAUGUAGUCCUUUCGUUAUGGAGAAAUGGGGGGUCAAAGGCUAAAUCUUCAAAUGUACCGUAUAAAUAGAAGUACCCGGAGGUCCAGGGGGAAUUAUUCUUAAGUCAUUUUUCUUUCAAUUGCGGCACACGAAUUAAUUCAAGGUAAAAUUGUAAAGGUAUUAAAAUUAUAAAGGUCGUUCACAAUAAGUAGCUUUUUGUGCGUGCGAAAAAAGAUUUAUAAUUUUAACACUUAAAUUGAUUAGGUGACAAUUUACAUUAUGGAGAUAUGUGUUAGGAUUUUAUAAGUUGUUUUAUCAUAGAUUUAUAUAUUUGUAUUUUGACCAGAUGACCGGACGGUUUUACAUGUAUAUAAUUGGUUUUAAAUGAUGUAAAUUAGUUAGUCAUGAAAGGAAAUUAAAAGUGUUGAUUUUAUUAGAGGUGUUAGUGUUUACUCUGCUCGAUUAUAGACUGGGAAAGAAUUGGUUUCCUAACAGGUUAUGGGCCCAGCACGCUUCCACUGCGCCGAAGAAAGUAAUUAGUUUAGCCCAAAAAGGUAAAGAAGAAAAAGCUGAAGUUAAAGCUAAGAAGGUAAAGAAGAAAAAAGCUGAAGUUAAAGCGAAGAAGAAGAAGAAAAUAUUUAAGUUAUAUUUUUUGUCAGAUUUGCAUAACUAGAAAUAUCAAUGGCUGACGAGUUGAGAGUACCACAGCCGAUGGGAGAACAUCACGACCGAUGGGAGAAUACCACGGCCGAUGGGAGAAUACCACGGCCGAUGGGAGAACAUCACGACCGAUGGGAGAAUGCCAUGGCCGAUGGGAGAAUACCACAGCCGAUGGGAGAAUACCACGACCGAUGGGAGAAUACCACGGCCGAUGGGAGAACAUCACGACCGAUGGGAGAAUACCAUGGCCGAUGGGAGAAUACCACAGCCGAUGGGAGAAUACCACGACCGAUGGGAGAAUACCACGGCUGAUGGGAGAACAUCACGACCGAUGGGAGAAUACCAUGGCCGAUGGGAGAGUACCACAGCCGAUGGGAGAAUACCACGACCGAUGGGAGAAUACCACGGCCGAUGGGUGAACAUCACGACCGAUGGGAGAAUGCCAUGGCCGAUGGGAGAAUACCACAGCCGAUGGGAGAAUACCACGACCGAUGGGAGAAUACCACGGCCGAUGGGAGAACAUCACCACCGAUGGGAGAAUACCAUGGUCGAUGGGAGAAUACCACAGCCGAUGGGAGAAUACCACGACCGAUGGGAGAAUACCACGGCCGAUGGGAGAACAUCACCACCGAUGGGAGAAUACCAUGGUCGAUGGGAGAAUACCACAGCCGAUGGGAGAAUACCACGACCAAUGGGAGAAUACCACGGCCGAUGGGAGAACAUCACGACCGAUGGGAGAAUACCAUGGCCGAUGGGAUGGUACCACAGCCGAUGGGAGAAUACCACGACCGAUGGGAGAAUACCACGGCCGAUGGGAGAAUACGAAGAACUGAGGAGAGAAGACGAAGAGGAAGGCCAGAAUGAAAAUAUAAUCCCAAGGGGGUCUUCAAGAGUUGCGGCUUGGCGGAGGGAGUGUUGCAGAUAUUCUAACUGGGGGAAUUGGAAGAAUUAAACUGACCGGGAUCUUGGCCACUCUAGGGCUCCGAUGAGGGUAUGAAAACAACUUUAAAAUGGGGGGGCAUUGUUAGGAUUUUAUAAGUUGUUUUAUCAUAGAUUUAUAUAUUUGUAUUUUGACCAGAUGACCGGACGGUUUUACAUGUAUAUAAUUGGUUUUAAAUGAUGCAAAUUAGUUAGUCAUGAAAGGAAAUUAAAAGUGUUGAUUUUAUUAGAGGUGUUAGUGUUUACUCUGCUCGAUU